UAGGUCCUCGACCUCACCGACUCCACAGCCUCCUCAUCUCUUUUUGGCCUCUCUUUGCAGGAGAUCAAGAUAAACAAGAUGGCUGUAGGCAGAGUUUUUGUUCCUAACAAGAUGUUGGUCUCCUCUCCCAAGUUUCCAACAGGUUGUUUUCCUCUCCCAAGUUCCCAACAAACAAGAAGGCGUGCUCUCCUCUCCCAGGCCAAAAUGUGUGCUCUCUCUGAUCCUCUCCACUCCACGCCACACCAUCUCUCUCAUAUUACAAAGUACUUGGAAUUUCAAGCCAUGAAAUGAUUGCAAGAAGAAACAAAGCAAAUCAGAAGGGUGAAUAAAGGGCAAUGGAGUUAGUCCCUGGUUGGUCGGAGAUGGGCGGUGGCGGUAGGUGGCGGCAGCUAGUCGACGGUGGUUGAUCGGCGGCGGCUGUAGUGGCUAACCUGGGGCGUUGGUAAGGAGGUUGGCCGGUGGCAGGUGGUGAUGGUUGACCUGUGACGGUGGCAGCUAGCCGGAAGGAGGUUGUCCGACAGCAGGUGGUGGUGGUUGGCCUUGUGCUAAUUUUGAUUUUAAAGGAGUGGCAUUGUGUGUAAUUUUAAUUUUUUUAAUUACAUUAUUAUAAAAUUAGUACUACUUUUUUGUCUUUGGCCUUAUGCUAAUUAGGUGAAAUUGUAUUCCUAUCUUCCAAAUUAGUAAACUAUAUAGUGUCUUAAAAAUGAAAGAUCCCUUAAAUAAACUGUAUUUGACAGUUAAGCACAAUGGCACAUGUAGUAAUUUUAGGGUUGUUG